GACGAACGCUGGCGCCGUGCUUAACACAUGCAAGUCGAACGGAAAGGCCUGCUUUCCCUUGUGGAUUGCGGGUACUCGAGUGGCGAACGGGUGAGUAACACGUGAGUGAUCUGCCCCCAACUUGGGUAUAAGCCUGGGAAACUGGGUCUAAUUCCCGAUAGGACUGCAGGGUGGUGCCUGUGGUGGAAAACGAUUUUCUAGUGGUUGGGGAUGAGCUCGCGGCCUAUCAGCUUGUUGGUGGGGUAAUGGCCUACCAAGGCGGCGACGGGUAGCCGGCCUGAGAGGGUGGACGGCCACAUUGGGACUGAGAUACGGCCCAGACUCCUACGGGAGGCAGCAGUGGGGAAUAUUGCACAAUGGGCGGAAGCCUGAUGCAGCGACGCCGCGUGGGGGAUGACGGCCUUCGGGUUGUAAACUCCUUUCGACCGCGAGGAAGCCACCUGGUUGGAAGGGUGGUGACGGUAGUGGUAGAAGAAGCACCGGCUAACUACGUG
rnacentral:rRNA from 1 species